CAUGACAGGCGUUCUCGGAAAGCUUAUAGUUUGAAAUGAAGACUUUUAUUUUGAUAUAUGAACCUUGACCUGAAAAGGGGACGGAGUUUUGUGUUGUGUUAGAUUGUGACGUAGGAGUGCUCGUUUUUUUAUACAUGUGCUAAGUGGUACAUUAAUGGACCUGGUGUAGAUUGGAUAUUUUCAGAGAGUAAGAAUUGGAGACAAAAGAGUACGAGAGGAAGUAAA